UACGGAGGGUGCAAGCGUUAUCCGGAUUCACUGGGUUUAAAGGGUGCGUAGGUGGGUCCGUAAGUCCGUGGUGAAAUCUCUAGGCUUAACCUGGAAACUGCCAUGGAUACUAUAGAUCUUGAAUACUGUGGAGGUCAGCGGAAUAUGUCAUGUAGCGGUGAAAUGCUUAGAUAUGACAUAGAACACCAAUUGCGAAGGCAGCUGGCUACACAAAUAUUGACACUGAGGCACGAAAGCGUGGGGAUCAAACAGG
rnacentral:rRNA from 1 species